rnacentral:rRNA from 1 species
ACGAACGCUGGCGGCGCGUCUUAAGCAUGCAAGUCGAGCGAUAAUCGGGGGCAACUCCGAUGAAAGCGGCGGACUGGUGAGUAACGCGUGGAUAACCUGCCUUGAGGCUGGGGAUAGCCGUUAGAAAUAGCGGGUAAUACCGAAUACGAUCGUCCGGCCGCCUGACCACUAAAGGAACAGCUGUAGCUAUGGAAAGUCUCUGAGAGUAAAGUUAUUAGAGAUUUUUAGUAGUGACAGGUGAAAUUAAGAAGAUUUUAGUGGUCAGGCGGUUGGAUGAGGAAAGGAGCUAAGGCUCCGCCUUAAGAGGGGUCCGCGUCCCAUUAGCUAGUUGGUGGUGUAACGGAUCACCAAGGCGAAGAUGGGUAGCCGGCCUGAGAGGGUGAACGGCCACACUGGGACUGAGAUACGGCCCAGACUCCUACGGGAGGCAGCAGCUAAGAAUAUUCCGCAAUGGGCGAAAGCCUGACGGAGCGACGCCGCGUGAACGAGGAAGGCCGAAAGGUUGUAAAGUUCUUUUGCGGAUGAAGAAUAAGCGGCGGAGGGAAUGCCGUCGCGAUGACGCAAGUCCGCGAAUAAGCCCCGGCUAAUUACGUGCCAGCAGCCGCGGUAACACGUAAGGGGCGAGCGUUGUUCGGAAUUAUUGGGCGUAAAGGGCGCGUAGGCGGCCGCGUAAGUCUGAUGUGAAAUAUCCGGGCUCAACCCGGGAACUGCAUUGGAAACUGUGCGGCUUGAGUCACGGAGGGGAAGCCGGAAUUCCUGGUGUAGGGGUGAAAUCUGUAGAUAUCAGGAAGAACACCGAUGGCGAAGGCAGGCUUCCAGCCGAUGACUGACGCUGAGGCGCGAAAGCGCGGGGAGCAAACAGGAUUAGAUACCCUGGUGGUCCGCGCUGUAAACGAUGCGCACUAGGCGUCGGGGCGAGCGUUCCGGUGCCGAAGCGAACGCGGUAAGUGCGCCGCCUGGGGAGUAUGCCCGCAAGGGUGAAACUCAAAGGAAUUGACGGGGGCCCGCACAAGCGGUGGAGCAUGUGGUUUAAUUCGAUGGUACGCGAGGAACCUUACCUGGGUUUGACAUGCAGGGGAAAGACGCCGAGAUGCGUCUGCGCAGCAAUGCGCCCCUGUGCAGGUGCUGCAUGGCUGUCGUCAGCUCGUGCCGUGAGGUGUUGGGUUAAGUCCCGCAACGAGCGCAACCCCUACCGCCAGUUACCAGCAGGAAAGCUGGGGACUCUGGCGGAACUGCCGGCGACAAGCCGGAGGAAGGCGGGGAUGACGUCAAGUCAUCAUGGCCCUUAUGUCCAGGGCUACACACGUGCUACAAUGGCCUGCACAAAGCGAAGCGAGUCCGAGAGGACAUAGCGAACCGCCGAAAGCCGGCCGUAGUCCGGAUUGAAGUCUGAAACCCGACUUCAUGAAGCUGGAAUCGCUAGUAAUCGCGCAUCAGCAUGGCGCGGUGAAUACGUUCCCGGGCCUUGUACACACCGCCCGUCACACCAUCCGAGUUGGGGGCACCCGAAGCCGGCAGUCUAACCGCAAGGGGGACGCUGUCGAAGGUGCGCCGGGCGAGGAGGGUG